rnacentral:rRNA from 1 species
GACGUAGGGCGCGAGCGUUGUCCGGAUUUAUUGGGCGUAAAGAGCUCGUAGGCGGCUUGGUAAGUCGGAUGUGAAACCUCCAGGCUCAACCUGGAGUCGCCAUCCGAUACUGCCAUGGCUAGAGUCCGGUAGGGGCCCACGGAAUUCCUGGUGUAGCGGUGAAAUGCGCAGAUAUCAGGAGGAACACCGAUGGCGAAGGCAGUGGGCUGGGCCGGCACUGACGCUGAGGAGCGAAAGCGUGGGGAGCGAACAGG